CCUACGGGGGGCAGCAGUGGGGAAUAUUGGACAAUGGGCGAAAGCCUGAUCCAGCCAUGCCGCGUGUGUGAAGAAGGCCUUCGGGUUGUAAAGCACUUUCAGUGGGGAAGAAAGCCUCGGGGCUAAUACCCUCGAGGAAGGACAUCACCCACAGAAGAAGCACCGGCUAACUCCGUGCCAGCAGCCGCGGUAAUACGGAGGGUGCGAGCGUUAAUCGGAAUUACUGGGCGUAAAGCGCGCGUAGGCGGUCUGAUAAGCCGGUUGUGAAAGCCCCGGGCUCAACCUGGGAACGGCAUCCGGAACUGUCAGGCUAGAGUGCAGGAGAGGAAGGUAGAAUUCCCGGUGUAGCAGUGAAAUGCGUAGAGAUCGGGAGGAAUACCAGUGGCGAAGGCGGCCUUCUGGACUGACACUGACGCUGAGGUGCGAAAGCGUGGGUAGCAAACAGGAUUAGAUACCCCUGUAGUC
rnacentral:rRNA from 1 species